AUUGAACGCUGGCGGCAGGCCUAACACAUGCAAGUCGAACGGUAACAGGAAGAAGCUUGCUUCUUUGCUGACGAGUGGCGGACGGGUGAGUAAUGUCUGGGAAACUGCCUGAUGGAGGGGGAUAACUACUGGAAACGGUAGCUAAUACCGCAUAACGUCGCAAGACCAAAAAGGGGGACCUUCGGGCCUCUUGCCAUCGGAUGUGCCCAGAUGGGAUUAGCUAGUAGGUGGGGUAACGGCUCACCUAGGCGACGAUCCCUAGCUGGUCUGAGAGGAUGACCAGCCACACUGGAACUGAGACACGGUCCAGACUCUACGGGAGGCAGCAGUGGGGAAUAUUGCACAAUGGGCGCAAGCCUGAUGCAGCCAUGCCGCGUGUAUGAAGAAGGCCUUCGGGUUGUAAAGUACUUUCAGCGGGGAGGAAGGGAGUAAAGUUAAUACCUUUGCUCAUUGACGUUACCCGCAGAAGAAGCACCGGCUAACUCCGUG
rnacentral:rRNA from 1 species